rnacentral:rRNA from 1 species
GCUUGUCUCAAAGAUUAAGCCAUGCACGUCUAAGUAUAAGCGAUUAUACUGUGAAACUGCGAAUGGCUCAUUAUAUCAGUUAUAGUUUAUUUGAUGGUCCUUGCUACUUGGAUAACCGUAGUAAUUCUAGAGCUAAUACAUGCAUAAAUACCCAACUGCUUGUCGGACGGGUAGCAUUUAUUAGAUUGAAACCAAUUCACUUCGGUGAUUUUGUGUUGAAUCAUAAUAACUGUGCUGAUCGCUCUAAGCGAUAAGUCGAUUGAGUUUCUGCCCUAUCAGCUUUGGAUGGUAGGAUAUGGGCCUACCAUGGCGUUAACGGGUAACGGGGAAUUAGGGUUUGAUUCCGGAGAGGGAGCCUUAGAAACGGCUACCACAUCCAAGGAAGGCAGCAGG